UCAGAUGCGAAAGCGUGGGUAGCAAACAGGAUUAGAUACCCUGGUAGUCCACGCCGUAAACGCUGUCUACUUGGAGGUUGAGGUUUUGGAUUUUGGCUUUCGGCGCUAACGCAUUAAGUAGACCGCCUGGGGAGUACGGCCGCAAGGUUAAAACUCAAAUGAAUUGACGGGGGCCCGCACAAGCGGUGGAGCAUGUGGUUUAAUUCGAUGCAACGCGAAGAACCUUACCUACUCUUGACAUCCAGCGAAGCCUUUAGAGAUAGAGGUGUGCCUUCGGGAGCGCUGAGACAGGUGCUGCAUGGCUGUCGUCAGCUCGUGUUGUGAAAUGUUGGGUUAAGUCCCGCAACGAGCGCAACCCUUAUCCUUGUUUGCCAGCACAUAAUGGUGGGAACUCCAGGGAGACUGCCGGUGAUAAACCGGAGGAAGGUGGGGACGACGUCAAGUCAUCAUGGCCCUUACGAGUAGGGCUACACACGUGCUACAAUGGCAGAUACAGAGGGCAGCGAGACAGCGAUGUUUAGCGAAUCCCUUAAAGUUUGUCGUAGUCCGGAUUGGAGUCUGCAACUCGACUCCAUGAAGUCGGAAUCGCUAGUAAUCGUGGAUCAGAAUGCCACGGUGAAUACGUUCCCGGGCCUUGUACACACCGCCC
rnacentral:rRNA from 1 species